rnacentral:rRNA from 1 species
GUGGGGAAUAUUGGACAAUGGGCGCAAGCCUGAUCCAGCCAUGCCGCGUGAGUGAUGAAGGCCUUAGGGUUGUAAAGCUCUUUCACCGGUGAAGAUAAUGACGGUAACCGGAGAAGAAGCCCCGGCUAACUUCGUUCCAGCAGCCGCGGUAAUACGAAGGGAGCUAGCGUUGUUCGGAAUUACUGGGCGUAAAGCGCACGUAGGCUGAUAUUUAAGUCAUGAGUGAAAUCCCUGGGCUCGACCCCGGAACUGCCUUUGAUACUGGGUAUAUUGAGUAUGGAAGAUGUCAGUGGAAUUGCGAGUGUAGAGGUGAAAUUCGUAGAUAUUCGCAGGAACACCAGUGGCGAAGGCGGCUGACUAGUCCAUUACUGACGCUGAGAUGCAAAAGCGUGGGGAGCAAACAGGAUUAGAACCCCUUGUAGUCC